CACUGCAUUCCUGCAGAGCUUCUGCACUUGUUCGGGGCUUCUUGUUGUUGUUGUUAUUGUAAAACAGAAGCGUUACACAAGACAAGAGAGCUUGACAGCUUUCCCACAAUCCUCAGCAUGUGGGAAUAGCAAGUAACAAAGUGUUAACACCUGCCAACUGGUGGUUAGGUGUAAAUGUCUCUGUUAACAACAAACACUGCUGCUAGCAGUCAUCAGAGCAAAGCAGCAAAUCUGUUCCCUUCUCCAAUGCGGAAAACACCAAACAAUAACAUUAAAAAAAAAAAAAAAGGCACCUAAUUGCUUGAUUAAGAUGUAUCAGUGUUGGAAACUGCUGAUCUAGAACAUUGAAUCUCUGACAUUUACUUCACUCUUGAUUAAACACAAAUGUUUAAAACUAGCUAUUGUGCAGGCAGAAAGAAGCUCAGAGUACUGUGUACCAUCCAGGGAAUUGUGACAGUGAAACUUUCCACAAAGAAACUAAAACGAGGCCACCUUCUCUGAGCUGUUUCAUAAAAGCAUCAGCUGCUGAGACCCUCUGGCAAAAAAAGAAGGGAUGGAAGACCAAUGAGGAGGAAUUAGGAGUCAGACUACCAUCUCCUAGGGAGAGGAAGAUUCUCUUCAUUCAGACACCUCAUGGUACACUGAGACCUCAAUGCUUAAAUACUCCAGAGACAGAAGGGCAAAACCUGAAUGAAGAAACACCAGCAUGACCUGCUUACAGCAAAGAGUACACAGUCUGUAUUCCUAUGUUGCCUUUGCAUUUCUGUAGAACCUCACCAAGUCAACAAGGCAAACUAUCCACUACAUUUCUCAUUCCCACAGUCACAUAAAAGCCUAUAAAAGGGUUGCAACUAAUCUACAUUGGUGCUUUCGAACAUCUUCUCUCUCCUGUGCCCCAGUGCUUUCUGCAACACAGGGGUAAAGCUGUACCUAUCACACAUGGAUGGAGUCUGGCUCCAUCCGUCACUUUACCAGGUGCUGAGGAUUCUGGCAAGCUCUGAUUGGCACAGUUAGUUUUAUAUGCUUUUCCUACUGACACAUGCACAUUCCUGUGCUUAGUUUUAACAUGAACAGGUUAAUGAUGCAUUCUUUACUUGGUUGUAUUCAAAUUCAUGACAGAAAGCUACAUCUGCAUAGUGUUUUCCUGUUAGGU
rnacentral:lncRNA from 1 species